rnacentral:misc_RNA from 1 species
GUUGAAGAACGUAGCGAAAUGCGAUAAGUAAUGUGAAUUGCAGAAUUCAGUGAAUCAUCGAAUCUUUGAACGCACAUUGCGCCCGCCAGUAUUCUGGCGGGCAUGCCUGUUCGAGCGUCAUUUCAACCCUCAUGCCCCCAGUGCCUGGUGUUGGGGAUCGGCCCAGCCUUCCUGUAAGGCCGCCGGCCCCGAAAUCUAGUGGCGGUCUCGCUGUAGUCCUCCUCUGCGUAGUAGCACAACCUCGCAGUUGGAACGCGGCGGUGGCCAUGCCGUUAAACACCCCACUUCUGAAAGUUGACCUCGGAUCAGGUAGGAAUACCCGCUGAACUUAAGCAUAUCAAUAAGCGGAGGA